GUUGGCGGCGUGGAUUAGGCAUGCAAGUCGAACGAAUCCCAUCUGGGCAACUGGGUGGGGGAAGUGGCGAAAGGGGCAGUAAAGCGUGGGUAACCUACCCCGGGGACUGGGAUAGCCGUCCUAACGGACGGGUAAUACCGGGCGAUCUGGCGAGGAGGCAUCUUCUUGCCAGNAAAUGAAUCUCGCCUCGGGAGGGGCUCACGUAGUAUUAGCUUGUUGGCGGGGUAACGGCCCACCAAGGCCAAGAUGCUUAGCGGGUGUGAGAGCACCACCCGCGCCACUGGCACUGAGACACUGGCCAGACUCCUACGGGAGGCUGCAGUCGAGGAUCUUCGGCAAUGGGCGCAAGCCUGACCGAGCGACGCCGCGUGUGCGAUGAAGGCCUUCGGGUUGUAAAGCACUGUCGAGGGGGAGAAAAGCCCGCAAGGGUCUGAUCUAUCCCUGGAGGAAGCACGGGCUAAGUUCGUGCCAGCAGCCGCGGUAAGACGAACCGUGCGAACGUUGUUCGGAUUCACUGGGCAUUAAAGGGCGCGUACGCGGACGGUCAA
rnacentral:rRNA from 1 species